UGAGGAAUAUUGGUCAAUGGGCGAGAGCCUGAACCAGCCAAGUAGCGUGCAGGAUGACGGCCCUAUGGGUUGUAAACUGCUUUUAUAAGGGAAUAAAGUGAGAGUCGUGACUCUUUUUGCAUGUACCUUAUGAAUAAGGACCGGCUAAUUCCGUGCCAGCAGCCGCGGUAAUACGGAAGGUCCGGGCGUUAUCCGGAUUUAUUGGGUUUAAAGGGAGCGCAGGCCGCCGGGCAAGCGUGUUGUGAAAUGCAGUCGCUCAACGUCUGCACUGCAGCGCGAACUGCCCAGCUUGAGUGCGCGCAACGUUGGCGGAAUUCGCCGUGUAGCGGUGAAAUGCGUAGAGAUUAGGAAGAACUCCGAUUGCGAAGGCAGCCUGCUGUAGCGCAACUGACGCUGAAGCUCGAAAGCGU
rnacentral:rRNA from 1 species